CCUACGGGGAGCUGCAGUGGGGAAUAUUGGACAAUGGGCGAAAGCCUGAUUCAGCCAUGCCGCGUGUGUGAAGAAGGCCUUCGGGUUGUAAAGCACUUUCAGUGGGGAAGAAAGCCUUGGGGCUAAUACCCUCGAGGAAGGACAUCACCCACAGAAGAAGCACCGGCUAACUCCGUGCCAGCAGCCGCGGUAAUACGGAGGGUGCGAGCGUUAAUCGGAAUUACUGGGCGUAAAGCGCGCGUAGGCGGUCUGAUAAGCCGGUUGUGAAAGCCCCGGGCUCAACCUGGGAACGGCAUCCGGAACUGUCAGGCUAGAGUGCAGGAGAGGAAGGUAGAAUUCCCGGUGUAGCGGUGAAAUGCGUAGAGAUCGGGAGGAAUACCAGUGGCGAAGGCGGCCUUCUGGACUGACACUGACGCUGAGGUGCGAAAGCGUGGGUAGCAAACAGGAUUAGAUACCCUAGUAGUC
rnacentral:rRNA from 1 species